GUGGGGAAUCUUGCGCAAUGGGCGAAAGCCUGACGCAGCGACGCCGCGUGGGGGAUGAAGCUUCUCGGAGUGUAAACCCCUUUCGACCCGGACGAAACGCCCGCAAGGGCUUGACGGUACGGGUAUAAGAAGCCCCGGCUAACUACGUGCCAGCAGCCGCGGUAAGACGUAGGGGGCCAGCGUUGCUCGGAAUUACUGGGCGUAAAGGGUUCGUAGGCGGUGCGGUAAGUCGGAAGUGAAAUCUCUGGGCUUAACUCAGAGGCUGCUUUCGAAACUGCCGUGCUAGAGUGCGGGAGAGGCGAGUGGAAUUACAGGUGUAGCGGUGAAAUGCGUAGAUAUCUGUAGGAACACCCGUGGCGAAGGCGGCUCGCUGGACCGCAACUGACGCUGAGGAACGAAAGCUAGGGGAGCAAACAGGAUUAGAUACCCCUGUAGUCC
rnacentral:rRNA from 1 species